AAAUACUGUAUUUCAUAUACUCCAUGCUUGUACGAUUUCCGCCUAAUAAUAUUCUUAAUUAUGAUAAACUGUGCUCUUUUGUAAAAUUAUUUGAAUUAUUGUGUUUUUGUACUUCAGCGAUAGGCAAAGGCUUGUGGUGCGCAAACGUAAAACUGUUAACAUUGCCGUAACUGUUAAUGAAGAACCAAUAAUUGAGAAAGUGUGACAAUAGAUAGUGCCGUGCAUAUAAACUUGAUAGAAACCAUAACCGACCGAUUUCCUAUACAAACAGCUGUCCACCCGCCAGCAUGCCGAUGGCAGAUUGCCACAUAGAUCCGAAUGGAUGCUUGAUAUGUCAGGGAUCAAGUACGUUAACCUCUUUUGAAUACAUGCGUGUGGUAACAGCAGACGCCUUCUGAAGAUGUAGAUGUAUUUGAAUAGUCUUGCUAAGAAGUCGUUACAACAACUACACCAUUGACAACUAAACACCUGCGUAAACAAUAACGACCAACAACAAUUACGUCCAUAACUACGAAAUCAACGUGGCAAACAACAGCCAAAACUAUUACAGGAAAAUCAACAACGCAACAGCCAACCAUUUCAACAACACCAGCAAACACAACAUUAACGCCGAUACAAGUCAUUUCACAAGAAACAACAUCCACUAUCAGAACGCCCACAAAAACGACUAGCGCAACUCCUGUGACAACUAAGAUAAUACCGCAAACAACCUCGAAGACUGUGCGAUCUCUGGCAAUGUGACUU